AACAGUUUAUAGUCUGUUUUGGACACAUAAACUCCCCGGUGUCAGGUGACACAAGAAAGUGAAACUAUUAUAGCAGGAUCCAUUUUGUCAUAUGAGGAAAUAAACGACAUUAAGAGAGAAAAACACAAUGAAACCAUGGCCUUCAAAAUGAAUUUCUCUGAAGAACAUGAAACAAAGAUAAAGACAGUCAAGAGGGAGGUGAAUCAGAUUUACCUGAACACAGCAAUGUUUCUGUGAGGAAAAAACAACCAAUGGAUCUUUCAGAUCGCUACAGAGAGGAA